UUCUUUAAAAAUCAUGAAAACAUUCUAAUUUUUGGAAAAUAAACUUAAAAGUUAAACAAAUUCCAUCGAACAUUUUAUUUUUAGUCGUGGAAAAUUUCCGCAAACUCGAUUUCGACGAGUCGUCCAGGUGCAACUCUCUACUACGUUUUCAAUCAUUCUUGCAAACCAAACAUUACGCCAUCCCUUUAAAAAAAAAUUCGCGGACGCAAUUUACCUAGAACCCGUACAUUAUAAUCAAAUAAACGAAGAAUCGCCUUAAUAAUAACACAAUUAGCGUAAACGCAAAUGGAAUAACGUUUAUAAACAAAUUAUAGCGUGUUGUACCGUACUGAAGACGUCAAUCUGACAUUGGCCUUGUCACCGUGGAAUCUCUUUGAUGACGCGGUUGGCACUCCUAUAAAAGCGAACAGCUCGCGGAGACCAUCAUAAACAAACUAACUCUCAAACCGUGUAGACUAAAAGUGAGUGACCAAAACGUGACCAUGUAUACCAACCCAUUCAAUCGUACACACUGCAAAGUGCGCCAAAUCAUUGACAAAUUCCUGCACGUGGAUACCGGCAGCAGAAACUACAAAAAUGUAGUGAAGAGGAGCACAAGCACCUGUUCGGAUUCUUCGUACUCUUCGAAAAGUUCCAACAGUUCGACGAAGAGUUCCAAAUCGUCGAAGUUCAGUGUUUUUAAGUGAUGCGGUGGCAAGACCUUUGAGAAGCUUUGAUUUCUGGAAAACUUCGAGGCAUUGAGAUAAAGAGUUGGCCUCUUCGUGGAUCUUCUCUACUUGCUCACAGAUGCUUCGGCUGCGUCGCCACCAAAUAAGCUAGCAAAAGGCUGAAGAAACUUGUGCUGUUCAUUGUGUUCUAACCCUAUUUAUGAAGAAUAACUUAUUGUAUUUAUUUUUAUUUAUUGCAAUAUUUAUUUUGAAACUAGAAUAAUAAACAAAAUGAUAAAGA